rfam:Pteropus alecto contig99773, whole genome shotgun sequence.
GGCUCCAUAGUGUAGUGGUUAGCAUGUUUGCUUUACAUGCAGAAGGUCCUGGGUUCAUGCCCCAGGUGGAGUCA